rnacentral:rRNA from 1 species
AUACGUAGGGGGCAAGCGUUGUCCGGAAUUAUUGGGCGUAAAGCGCGCGCAGGCGGUUGUUUAAGUCUAGUGUUUAAGACAGGGGCUCAACCCUUGUUCGCACUGGAAACUGGGCAGCUUGAGUGUAGGAGAGGAAAGUGGAAUUCCACGUGUAGCGGUGAAAUGCGUAGAGAUGUGGAGGAACACCAGUGGCGAAGGCGACUUUCUGGCCUAUAACUGACGCUGAGGCGCGAAAGCGUGGGGAGCAAGCAGGAUUAGAUACCCUGGUAGUCCACGCCGUAAACGAUGAAUGCUAGGUGUCAGGGGUUUCGAUACCCUUGGUGCCGAAGUCAACACAUUAAGCAUUCCGCCUGGGGAGUACGUUCGCAAGAAUGAA